UCCUAGAGGAAGCUGUGUCUGAGGCUUGA
rnacentral:piRNA from 2 species